GACGAACGCUGGCGGCGUGCUUAACACAUGCAAGUCGAACGGAAAGGCCCUGCUUUUGUGGGGUGCUCGAGUGGCGAACGGGUGAGUAACACGUGAGUAACCUGCCCGUGACUUUGGGAUAACUUCAGGAAACUGGGGCUAAUACCGGAUAGGAGCUCCUGCGGCAUGGUGGGGGUUGGAAAGUUUCGGCGGUUGGGGAUGGACUCGCGGCUUAUCAGCUUGUUGGUGGGGGAGUGGCUUACCAAGGCUUUGACGGGUAGCCGGCCUGAGAGGGUGACCGGCGACAUUGGGACUGAGAUACGGACCAGACGCCUACGGGAGGCAGCAGUGGGGAAUAUUGCACAAUGGGCGGAAGCCUGAUGCAGCAACGCCGCGUGCGGGAUGACGGCCUUCGGGUUGUAAACCGCUUUCGCCUGUGACGAAGCGUGAGUGACGGUAAUGGGUAAAGAAGCACCGGCUAACUACGUG
rnacentral:rRNA from 1 species